AUUGAACGCUGGCGGCAUGCCUAACACAUGCAAGUCGAACGGUAACGAUGGAAGCUUGCUUCCAGGCGACGAGUGGCGGACGGGUGAGUAAUACUUAGGAAUCUGCCCAGUAGUGGGGGACAACUCGAGGAAACUCGAGCUAAUACCGCAUACGCCCUAUGGGGGAAAGUGGAGGAUCUUCGGACUUCACGCUAUUGGAUGAGCCUAAGUCGGAUUAGCUUGUAGGUGGGGUAAUGGCCUACCUAGGCAACGAUCCGUAGCUGGUCUGAGAGGACGAUCAGCCACACUGGAACUGAGACACGGUCCAGACUCCUACGGGAGGCAGCAGUGGGGAAUAUUGGACAAUGGGGGCAACCCUGAUCCAGCAAUGCCGCGUGUGUGAAGAAGGCCUGCGGGUUGUAAAGCACUUUCAGUAGAGAAGAAAAGCUUACGGUUAAUACCCGUGAGUCUUGACGUAACCUACAGAAGAAGCACCGGCUAACUCCGUG
rnacentral:rRNA from 1 species